ensembl:lncRNA
CGAUGACGUCAGCGGAAGCGCUGCGUCCUCACGGCUCUUCAUCAAUAUUAAACUCCGCGCUUGAAUCCAACCCCCAGAUCUGCGCGCGUCUUCUGCUUUAACCGCUCAUCUCUCGGAGUCCACAACGCUGAGUCGAGUGGCUGUUGACGUGAAACGCUCCGCCAUCCUGCCCUGCACUCACACCGUCCACAAAGGUCUCAUUGAGGUCACAUGGAGAGCAGGCAGUGAGGAACUGGUCGCUUCUUACCUGCAGGGGAAAUCGGUACAGGUGCCCCACUGAGACGCACACUUCUGCUGUCCUCAUGAAGUCCAGCGCUCUGCUGAUCGUAUUCUGUCUCUCUUUCAUCCGUCUCACAGGGUCUCCCUCGCAGUCUUUCACUCAUGUGAUCGCAACCCCCAACGGCACGGUCACCCUGCCCUGCAACGGGACCUUCCGCAGCAAGUUGACCGCGGUCGUAUGGGAGUCGGACGGCGGAGUCCGAGUCGCUCGUUACUACCAAGGGAAACUGGAACCAGGUCCCGGGUUCGAGAACAGAGUCCAUCUGUCCAAGGAGGGGAUUGAAAGCGGAAACUUCUCCCUCACCAUCAGCCCUGUCGAGUACAUGGAUGGAGACUUUUUCAGUUACAGAUGCAUGAUCAAGACCGGGAAGGAAACAGAACUUCGGGACUUCGGGGAUGUUCGACUAGAAGUGUUAGAGCCCAGAGAGGUGUCCGCGCUGGUGGGGGACCCCGUUUCCCUCCCCUGCUACGCCGCUGUGGACGGACAGCUUCACGUCCGCUGGGAGAAGGACAGACAAGUUGUGGUGGAGGUUCAGUCUGGAACCUUCCAUCAUGGUCCCGGGUUCAAAGACAGGGUCACUCUGUCUAAUGACAGGAUUCGACAUGGUGACCUGUCCCUGUCCUUCAACACGACACGUGGGUCGGACCAGGGCACCUUCCGAUGCUUCUCCGGCGGAAAAGGGCAAAAAAACAUAAUCGUUCUCUCCGUUAAAGCCCGUGAGGACAACCUCACUGUCUUAGAGGGUGAUUCCAUCACCCUGCCGCUCCGCUCUACAGAACCAGUGAGAGUCCAGUUCUCCAGCGCUGGUGAUCAGUCGACUGGCGUGUCUGUGUGCGUGGUGGAAGGAGGUUUACCGCGGUGUGAGACACAGUACAACCACAGGGUGUCCAUCCAGAACGGGAGUCUCCAUUUGCAGCAAGCGUCACCAUCUGAUAGAGGUGUGUACAGAGUCAUGGACCGCAGGACAAACGACACCAUCAGCAUCUUCACCGUGGAUGUUAUUGAAGAUUGGACACUUGCAGGAUUUAUCGCGGGGUUUUUCCUGGGAUUUUUUCUCCGCCUGGUUGAAGACAAGAUGUUGAUCCUCCGGCCGGACCUGCGGCUGCUGCUGACGAUGGUUCUGUCGUUGAUGCCAGUAGUGCUAUUUAAUCAGGUGCAGCUAGAAGGACAGCAGCUGAAGGUUGAGCGGGGGGUCCUGCUGGGGGUGAUCAUGGGGCUGGUGAUGGGGGUGGUGCUGCUGUUUUGUGGAAAGAUGGCGUGGCGGUGGGUGCGUUCGCACGUCUCCGGGUUUCGGAGGCCGAAGGAUGACGCGCGCCUUUCGGCGCCUUCUGCGUGCGUGUGCUCCUCCCCCCCUGCUGAGAAGCUGCCGGAGAAAAGGCUUCCCCGGGAGGUGAUGGGGGGCCCGGGUGAUGAGGAGGCCUCUCGUCCCCUGAACGGCGAGGCCAAAGCCUAGAAGGCGCGACUGCGGUUACUUCAUGUGCAGAACUGGGCAAAAAAAGCUGUAAAGAGAAAAAAGCUUCCAAAAAUAAUGCUCUUAAUUAAUUAACUUCCUACAAAGCUUAGUAACCAUCCGUUGUCAGCAACCGCUUGGCGUGGCGGGUUUGGCCGGGUCCCGCUCUCUGGCGGGUCAGGGGUUCAAAUGCUGCUUGGGGUGCCUUGCGAUGGACUGGCGUCCUGUCCUGGGUGCGUCGCCUCCGGCCUUACACCCUGCGUUGCCGGCUUAGGAUCCGGUUUGCCGCGACCCUGCUCAGGACAAGCGGUCUGUGUGCGUGCGUGCGUGCGUGCGUGCGUGCGUGCGUGCGCGCGCACAUACUUUUUCUUCAACGAUGUACAAAACCCUUGCUGUAACACUGUACCUUUUUGCAAAAGAAAUGCUUGGAAAUCUAAAAUACGUAUUUUCCCAUUGACACCGACGCAGAAGACAUUAAAUAAGUGUGUAAAACAAAUAUUUCUCUUAAACAUCUAAGCGUGUAAGACUUCUGCGCAGUCCUGUAGAGCAGGAGAAACGCUGCUGUUCAACCUGUUUCACCGACACUUUAACGGUCUGUGUGUCGCAUCCGCAUUUAUACAGCCGAGUCAUUUUGUCUAUGGGUUUUUGUGAAAUAACCCGUUUAAAAUAAAUUCAACCUUUUUUCUUCUUUUACUGACUUU